AUUGAACGCUGGCGGCGUGCCUAACACAUGCAAGUCGAGCGGUAACAGGUGUAGCAAUACAUGCUGACGAGCGGCGAACGGGUGAGUAAUGCUUUGGAAUCUUCCCAGUAGUGGGGAAUAACCAGUCGAAAGAUUGGCUAAUACCGCAUACGUCUGUAAAGGGAAAGCGGGGGACUCGCCUCUUCUUCGGAAGAGAGGCCUCGCGCUAUUGGAUGAGCCAAAGCGGAUUAGCUAGUUGGUGGGGUAAUGGCCUACCAAGGCGACAAUCCGUAGCUGGUCUGAGAGGACGACCAGCCACACCGGAACUGAGACACGGUCCGGACUCCUACGGGAGGCAGCAGUGGGAAUAUUGGACAAGUGGGGAAACCCUGAUCCAGCGACGCCGCG
rnacentral:rRNA from 1 species